rnacentral:lncRNA from 1 species
GCUAUAUACAGGGUGUUACGGUACAGAGUCAAUGUGUAGACUACAUACAGGGGGUACCGGUACAGAGUCAAUGUGGAGACUAUAUACAGGGGGGUACCGGUACAGAGUCAAUGUGGAGACUAUAUACAGGGGGGUACCGGUACAGAGUCAAUGUGGAGACUAUAUACAGGGUGUUACGGUACAGAGUCAAUGUGGAGACUAUAUACAGGGGGGUACCAGUACAGAGUCAAUGUGGAGGCUAUAUACAGGGUGUACCAGUACAGAGUCAAUGUGGAGGCUAUAUACAGGGUGUUACGGUACAGAGUCAAUGUGGAGGCUAUAUAUAGGGUGUUACGGUGCAGAGUCAAUGUGGAGGCUAUAUACAGGGGGUACCAGUACAGAGUCAAUGUGGAGGCUAUAUACAGGGUGUUACGGUACAGAGUCAAUGUGGAGGCUAUAUACAGGGGGUACCGGUACAG